CUCGUCAUCUAAUUAGUGACGCGCAUGAAUGGAUUAACGAGAUUCCCACUGUCCCUAUCUACUGUCUAGCGAAACCACAGCCGAGGGAACGGGCUCGGAAAAAUCAGCGGGGAAAGAAGACCCUGUUGAGCUUGACUCUAGUCUGACUUUGUCAAGAGACAUGAAAGGUGUAGCAUAAGUGGGAGACGGCUUCGCAGUCGUCGUCAGUGAAAUACCACUACUCUCAUCGUUUCUUUACUUACUCGAUGAGGCAGAGUGCGACCUCUUAUUCGGGGGUCACCCUACUGGUUCAAAGCGGUUUUUUUUAGGGGGCAUCUUUAAUCGGGUGUUCUCACGCGAUCUGAUUCGAGGACAGUGUCAGGCGGGGAGUUUGACUGGGGCGGUACAUCUGUCAAACACUAACGCAGGUGUCCUAAGGUUGGCUCCGUCAGGACAGAAACCUGGCUUAGAGCAAAAGGGCAAAAGCCAGCUUGAAAUUGAUUUUCAGUACGAAUAAAUUCCGCGAAAGCGCGGCCUAUCGAUCCUUUUGACUCUCGAGUUUAGAUCAAGAGGUGUCAGAAAAGUUACCACAGGGAUAACUGGCUUGUGGUG
rnacentral:rRNA from 1 species